rnacentral:rRNA from 1 species
GCGCUGAGGGAUGGGCUCGCGGCCUAUCAGCUUGUUGGUGGGGUAACGGCCUACCAAGGCUGCGACGGGUAGCUGGUCUGAGAGGACGAUCAGCCACACUGGGACUGAGACACGGCCCAG